ACAAUUUACAUCUACUACAGGAAAAUGAAUCCAAUUGGCAUGGCAAAAUCAUUCUAUCUGGAGGAGAGAUGCCACAAUGGUUACUCCCAAAUAAAGAGGGUUAUAUAUCUUUCACAAUUUCGAAGCAUUUGUAUUAUCACAUCAAGGUAGCUAUCUGUGUUGUAUGUCAAGUAAAGAAAAGGGAACGGAAAAUUUUUACGCUCAGUUUAUACAUUGAUGGCACAUGCUGGCGUAGGACCUCCAUAUUAUCCGGACCUCGUCAAUUGCAUUCGGAUCAUGUCUAUUUUGAUUUGCUGGAUAUGGACUUGCUAUUCAAUAGAUCCCGUCAUCCAAGACCCGAUUUUGGUCCAAAUGACUCGAGAUCUUUCCAGUUAGGCAUUAAAGCAUCGGCUAGUGUUAUUGUAAAAAAGUGCGGAUUUGGAUUAUUCUGGGAAAAUCGGGGAGAUUUGAUUCGAGAUGACGAGUUGCCAGAUCAAGGAUUGUUCCAUGAGGUUGGGCUUGGCUAUCAAGAAACGACCGAGUAGGAAGAAAUAUCGGCCUCUCUCUCAGAUAUGGAAAAUCAGCGGCGCGUAGACCAUGAAGAUAAUUAUCAAACAAGCUCAGAAGAAGACGAUGAAGAGAAUUAUCAAACAAGCUCAGAAGAAGAUGAUAUUCGACCCAAAGAAAAACAAAGAAAAGACGACGAUAUGGAUAACUCCCCACGCGCCGAUAUGAUGGCUGACUUUUCAGUUGAGUCUUCGCCAUACCAAAAAGAUAAUGAAAACUCAGAGGAAGACUGUACAAGUGAAACAGAAGAAGACUACAGCAGCGA